rnacentral:rRNA from 1 species
GAUGAACGCUGGCGGCGUGCCUAAUACAUGCAAGUCGAGCGAACGGACGAGAAGCUUGCUUUUCUGAUGUUAGCGGCGGACGGGUGAGUAACACGUGGAUAACCUACCUAUAAGACUGGGAUAACUUCGGGAAACCGGAGCUAAUACCGGAUAAUAUUUUGAACCGCAUGGUUCAAAAGUGAAAGACGGUCUUGCUGUCACUUAUAGAUGGAUCCGCGCUGCAUUAGCUAGUUGGUAAGGUAACGGCUUACCAAGGCAACGAUGCAUAGCCGACCUGAGAGGGUGAUCGGCCACACUGGAACUGAGACACGGUCCAGACUCCUACGGGAGGCAGCAGUAGGGAAUCUUCCGCAAUGGGCGAAAGCCUGACGGAGCAAUGCCGCGUGAGUGAUGAAGGUCUUCGGAUCGUAAAACUCUGUUAUUAGGGAAGAACAUAUGUGUAAGUAACUGUGCACAUCUUGACGGUACCUAAUCAGAAAGCCACGGCUAACUACGUG